rnacentral:rRNA from 1 species
AAUGAACGCUGGCGGCAGGCUUAACACAUGCAAGUCGAGCGAGCGGCGGACGGGUGAGUAAUGUCUGGGAAACUGCCUGAUGGAGGGGGAUAACUACUGGAAACGGUAGCUAAUACCGCAUACCAUCAGAUGUGCCCAGAUGGGAUUAGCUAGUAGGUGGGGUAAUGGCUAACCUAGGCGACGAUCCCCAGCUGGUCUGAGAGGGUGACCGGCCACACUGGAACUGAGACACGGUCCAGACUCCUACGGGAGGCAGCAGUGGGGAAUAUUGCGCAAUGGGCGCAAGCCUGAUGCAGCCAUGCCGCGUGUGUGAAGAAGGCCUUCGGGUUGUAAAGCACUUUCAGCGGGGAAGCGUUACUCACAGAGAAAGCACCGGCUAACUCCGUGCCAGCAGCCGCGGUAAUAC